rnacentral:rRNA from 1 species
GAUCAUGGCUCAGGAUGAACGCUAGCUACAGGCUUAACACAUGCAAGUCGAGGGGCAGCAUGGAGUUGCUUGCAAACUCUGAUGGCGACCGGCGCACGGGUGAGUAACGCGUAUCCAACCUUCCCUAUAGUAGAGGAUAGCCCGGCGAAAGUCGGAUUAAUACUCUAUGUUUUCCGUUGCAGACAUCUAAGAUGGAACAAAGGCUUGCCGCUAUAGGAUGGGGGAUGCGUCUGAUUAGGUAGUCGGCGGGGUAACGGCCACCGAGCCAUCGAUCAGUAGGGGUUCUGAGAGGAAGGUCCCCCCACAUUGGAACUGAGACACGGUCCAAACUCCUACGGGAGGCAGCAGUGAGGAAUAUUGGUCAAUGGGCGAGAGCCUGAACCAGCCAAGUAGCGUGCAGGAUGACGGCCCUAUGGGUUGUAAACUGCUUUUAUGCGGGGAUAAAGUUCACUACGUGUAGUGUUUUGUAGGUACCGCAUGAAUAAGGACCGGCUAAUUCCGUGCCAGCCGCCGC